AUUGAACGCUGGCGGCACGCCUAACACAUGCAAGUCGAACGAGUGGCGGACGGGUGAGUAAUGUCUGGGAAACUGCCCGAUGGAGGGGGAUAACUCCUGGAAACAGUAGCUAAUACCGCAUACCAUCGGAUGUGCCCAGAUGGGAUUAGCUAGUAGGUGGGGUAACGGCUCACCUAGGCGACGAUCCCUAGCUGGUCUGAGAGGAUGACCAGCGACACUGGAACUGAGACACGGACCAGACUACUACGGGAGGCAGCAGUGGGGAAUAGUGCACAAGGGGGGCAAGCCUGAUGCAGCCAUGCCGCGUGUAUGAAGAAGGCAGUAGGGUUGUAAAGUACUUUCAGCGAGGAGGCGUUACUCGCAGAAGAAGCACCGGCUAACUCCGUGCCAGCAGCCGCGGUAAUAC
rnacentral:rRNA from 1 species